GAGGGUCCAGGGUUCAAGUCCCUGUUCGGG
rnacentral:piRNA from 8 species